CGGGCGGGCAGGCAGACGCGCGCAGGUCCCGGCCGAGAUCCGGGAUUCGUCCCUUGGUCGCCUCACGAUUUGAGCGCCAAGGCGGAGAGCGAGCCUCGUCAGUCGCGCCCUCUCUCUUCACCGACCGGAGAGUGAGCCCACGCAGCCCUGCUCGUUCGGCGUCUCCCUCCGGCAAGUCCAGCCCCUUCCUCUCUCCUAAUUCAGCCUCCUCCACUCGCCCAGCCGGGCUUGCGUCGUCGCUGCGGCGGCCGCCGCCUCGCCUGCCAUCCUCGGCUGCUGCUGCUGCUACUACUCGGCCGCCUCCUCCUCCUCCUCGCCACCCGUUAGCAACGCGCCCAGCUCGCCGUUGCUGCGCGCCUCAGCUUCCCGGGCAGCUGGCGUAGGAGACUCGCCGGGCGCGCGGGAGGAAAGCGGCGCCUUGUGAUUCGGCCGCUGAGGAGGCGGCGGCGGCGGCUUCGGCUCCCCAAGAAGAAGAAGGGGCUCCCCUCACGGCUGGAGGCCGAGCACGGACAAGCUGCUGCCUGGUCUCGGGGCUCUCUCCAGGCUCCCCCUCGCCUCCUCCCAAACGGCCCUGCGCGCUUCUUGGAGGCUGCCUCGAACAGAUGGAGGCGAGCGAGAGAGCGACGCGCUUUACAGGUAGCGGCGCAGCAGCGGCGGGAGGAGCCAAAACGCAGGCGGCCCGUGUGACCUGCCGCUUCAACAAGUCCUCCUCGCACCACACAGAGAGAGAAGGCGAAGGGCUCCGCGCGUUGCUUGGACGCGGAGCAAUUCGAAGGGCCGUGGAGGCGGCGGCGGCGGCGCAAGAGGGACGCGCAAAAAACCCUGCGCGAUCCUGGCACUUGCUGAAUGGCGUGACGCACUGGCUGUCACUCUCUUCUCUCGCUCGCUCCCCCCCCCCCCGCUCGCUUAUACGGUUGAAGUCCCAAUACACCGAUGUUUUCCCAACCGCUCUCUUUUUCUCAGCAGAUCUCAGUGACUUGCAUGCCUAAAUGGUCGGCCGGGGAGGAAGGACCCCAAAUGGCAAGAAGGGAAGGCGGAAGAACAGAGAAAUCAGCCUCUCCGCACCCCGGCUCGCCUGUUUGCCAUUCAUUCUUUCUCUGUUUUCCUUCGCUCUCCAUCGGAGGAGCAACGAGACAUAGGGAGCAGCCCGAGAGGGCGCCGAGAUCCGCGCCGAUUAAAGGCUGCUGUUGAAACCCAGCGUUCGGCUGGGAUAGUUGGCGUUGUUGUUGUUCUUUAUCGCGGCCCAGAUCUGAAAGCAAUCUUUGGCUGAGGGCAGGGAAGGAGGCCGUGGGUUCUGGGAAAAUGAACGAAAGCAGCGAGCCGGAUCUUGUGCCAGGGUUGAGUUGCAGAAACAGGU